AGAGUUUCGCUCAGGGUAACUCAGGGGAAAGACUGAAUUGACUCCCACUCCAUGCAAAACAGUGCUACAACUUGAUUCUCCCAAGGAUUUACAUCAGAUGAGAAUCUGGCCCAGAAAGGGACUAAGGCGGUUUUGAGCUUGCCAAAGGCAGACAUGAUCUUUACUUCUGAAAAAGCCGAUGGUGUGCCGGAAGAGGGACAGAUGAGCUGCCUAUUCACAGCAUCUGUUUGUGGACCCACCUUUGCUCACCACGCAGUUGGAAACAAAAUGUUUUCAAUUCCUCAACCAUUUUUUAUUAAUUUCCACCCCCCCAAUUCUCCACAAAGUUUUCUCAUUGUUUGAGAUAAUGAGAAACAGAUACUUAAAUAGUCAAUAACUCCAAGUGCGUUUGCAAGGUUGAGCAGGCUGCCAUCUGCAAAAGUUCUGAACUCCCCAGAGAAGAGAAAUGUGAAGGCUAAGAAUUUGGGAUUCCAGAAAGAAAUUCUGAGAAGUCACACAUGGGAAAAGUGAAAAGAAGUUACCUGUUAUGGAGUGAGACUGCUCUGCCUGUUUAUGUCUAUAAACACUGUCACCGGCUUAGUAAAUAAUUAGGGAUGUGGCUGUAAGAACAUCGACAACAGCAGACAUUUCCAGCGUGUCAGCCCUUGGUUUGCUGCUCUACGUGAAUGUCUUUAUUUUCCAUGAGUUUUAAGUGGGGAAUGUGAAGACCUAAGAGGAUGAGCACUUUGAAAACUAAGGAAGAGAGCAAAGUAACACAGGGGGAAAUCCAGGGCUCUCUGAAGAAUCGCUUACUGCUGCUGAGUGACUGAGCCAGGCUUGAAGCCAGACACACAAAAUCCUCAGCUAGCUGCAGCCCACUGUCCAUUUUUAUAAAUAAAGUUUUAUUUGAACACUC